rnacentral:rRNA from 1 species
UACGUAGGUGACAAGCGUUGUCCGGAUUUACUGGGCGUAAAGAGCGCGCAGGCGGUCGUUCAAGUCGAGUGUGAAAGCCCCCGGCUCAACUGGGGAGGGUCACUCGAUACUGAUCGACUCGAAGGCAGGAGAGGGUAGUGGAAUUCCCGGUGUAGUGGUGAAAUUCGUAGAUAUUCGCAAGAACACCAGUGGCGAAGGCGGCUCUCUGGGACGGUACUGACGCUGAGACGCGAAAGCGUGGGGAGCGAACAGG